UUUUUUUUUUUUUUUUUUUUUUUUUUUACCUUUGAGAUAUAUAUCUUGAUUUUAUAUUUAUUUAUCUAUUUAUUUAUUUAUUUAUUUAUUUAUUUAUUUAUUUAUUAUUAUACUUUAAGUUCUAGGGUACAUGUGCAUAACGUGCAGGUUUGUUACAUAUGUAUACUUGUGCCAUGUUGGCGUGCUGCACCCAUCAACUCGUCAGCACCCAUCAACUUGUCAUUUACAUCAGAUAUAACUCCCAAUACAAUCCCUCCCACCUCCCCCCUCCCCAUGAUAGGCCCCGGUGUGUAAAAUUCCCCUUCCUGACUUCAAGUGAUCUCAUUGUUCAGUUCCCACCUAUGAGUGAGAACAUGCGGUGUUUGGUUUUCUGUUCUUGUGAUACUUUGCUAAGAAUGAUGGUUUCCAGCUGCAUCCAUGUCCCUACAAAGGACACAAACUCAUCCUUUUUGAUGGCUGCAUAGUAUUCCAUGGUGUAUAUGUGCCACAUUUUCUUAAUCCAGUCUGUCACUGAUGGACAUUUGGGUUGAUUCCAAGUCUUUGCUAUUGUGAAUAGUGCCGCAAUAAACAUACGUGUGCAUGUGUCUUUAUAGCAGCAUGAUUUAUAAUCUUUUGGGUAUAUCCCCAGUAAUAGGAUGUCUGGGUCAUAUGGUACAUCUAGUUCUAGAUCCUUGAGGAAUCGCCAUACUGUUUUCCAUAAUGGUUGAAUUAGUUUACAAUCCCACCAACAGUGUAAAAGUGUUCCUAUUUCUCCACAUCUUCUCCAGCACCUGUUGUUUCCUGACUUUUUAAUGAUCGCCAUUCUAACUGGUGUGAGAUGGUAUCUCAUUGUGGUUUUGAUUUGCAUUUCUCUGAUGGCCAGUGAUGAUGAGCAUUUUUUCAUGUGUCUGUUGGCUGUAUGAAUGUCUUCUUUUGAGAACUGUCUGUUCAUAACCUUUGCCCACUUUUUGAUGGGGUUGUUUGUUUUUCUUGUAAAUUUGUUUGAGUUCUUUGUAGGUUCUGGAUAUUAGCCCUUUGUCAGAUGAGUAGAUUGCAAAAUUUUCUCCCAUUCUGUAGGUUGCCUGUUCACUCUGAUGGUAGUUUCUUUUGCUGUGCAGAAGCUCUUUAGUUUAAUGAGAUCCCAUUUGUCAAUUUUGGCUUUUGCUGCCGUUGCUUUUGGUGUUUUAGACAUGAAGUCUUUGCCCAUGCCUAUGUCCUGAAUGGUACUACCUAGGUUUUCUUCUAGGGUUUUUAUGGUAUUAGGUCUAACAUUUACGUCUCUAAUCCAUCUUGAAUUAAUUUUCAUAUAAGGAGUAAGGAAAGGAUCCAGUUUCAGCUUUCUACUUAUGGCUAGCCAAUUUUCCCAGCACCAUUUAUUAAAUAGGGAAUCCUUUCCCCAUUUCUUGUUUCUCUCAGGUUUGUCAAAGAUCAGAUGGCUGUAGAUGUGUGGUAUUAUUUCUGACGACUCUGUUCUGUUCCAUUGGUCUAUAUCUCUGUUUUGGUACCAGUACCAUGCUGUUUUGGUUACUGUAGCCUUGUAGUAUAGUUUGAAGCCAGGUAGCGUGAUGCCUCCAGCUUUGUUCUAUUGACUUAGGAUUGUCUUGGAGAUGGGGGCUCUUUUUUGGUUCCAUAUGAACUUUAAAGCAGUUUUUCCAAUUCUGUGAAGAAACUCAUUGGUAGCCUGAUGGGGAUGGCAUUGAAUCUAUAAAUAACCUUGGGCAGUAUGGCCAUUUUCACGAUAUUGAUUCUUCCUAUCCAUGAGCAUGGUAUGUUCUUCCACUUGUUUGUGUCCUCUUUUCUUUCACUGAGCAGUGGUUUGUAGUUCUCCUUGAAGAGGUCCUUUACAUUCCUUGUAAGUUGGAUUCCUAGGUAUUUUAUUCUCUUUGAAGCAAUUGUGAAUGGAAGUUCAUUCCUGAUUUGGCUCUCUGUUUGUCUGUUACUGGUGUAUAAGAAUGCUUGUGAUUUUUGCACAUUAAUUUUGUAUCCUGAGACUUUGCUGAAGUUGCUUAUCAGCUUAUGGAGAUUUUGGGCUGAGACAAUGUGGUUUUCUAAAUAUACAAUCAUGUAUCUGCAAAGAGGGACAAUUUGACUCUUUCUUUUCCUAAUUGAAUACCCUUGAUUUCUUUCUCUUGCCUGAUUGCCCUAGCCAGAACUUCCAACACUAUGUUUAAUAGGAGUGGUGAGAGAGGGCAUCCCUGUCUUGUGCCAGUUUUCAAAGGGAAUUUUUCCAGUUUUUGCCCAUUCAGUAUGAUAUUGGCUGUGGGUUUGUCAUAAAUAGCUCUAAUUAUUUUGAGGUACGUUCCAUCAAUACCGAAUUUAUUGAGCGUUUUUAGCAUGAAGGGCUGUUGAAUUUUGUCAAAAGCCUUUUCUGCAUCUAUUGAGAUAAUCAUGUGGUUCUUGUCUUUGGUUCUGUUUAUAUGCUGGAUUAUGUUUAUUGAUUUGUGAAUGUUGAACCAGCCUUGCAUCCCAGGGAUGAAGCCCACUUGAUCAUGGUGGAUAAGCUUUUUGAUGUGCUGCUGAAUCCAGUUUGCCAGUAUUUUAUUGAGGAUUUUUGCAUUGAUGUUCACCAGGGAUAUUGGUCUAAAAUCCUCUUUUUUUUGUUGUGUCUCUGCCAGGCUUUGGUAUCAGGUUGAUGGUGGCCUCAUAAAAUGAGUUCGGGAGGAUUCCCUCUUUUUCUAUUGAUUGGAAUAGUUUCAGAAGUAAUGGUACCAGCUCCUCCUUAUACCUCUGGUAGAAUUCAGCUGUGAAUCCAUCUGGUCCUGGACUUUUUUUUAUUGGUAGGCUAUUAAUUAUUGCCUCAAUUUCAGAGCCUGCUAUUGGUCAGUUCAGGGAUUCAACUUCUUCCUGGUUUAGUCUUGGAAGAGUGUAAGUGUCCAGGAAAUUAUCCAUUUCUUCUAGAUUUUCCAGUAAAUUUGCGUAGAGGUGUUUAUAGUAUUCUCUGAUGGCAGUUUGUAUUUCUGUGGUGUCGGUGGUGAUAUCCUCUUUAUCAUUUUUUAUUGCAUCUAUUUGAUUCUUCUCUCUUUUCUUCCUUUUUAGUCUUGCUAGCGGUCUGUCAAUUUUGAUGAUCUUUUCAAAAAACCAACUACUGGAUUCAUUGAUUUUUUGGAGGGUUUUUUGUGUCUCUAUCUCCUUCAGUUCUGCUCUGAUCUUAGUUAUUUCUUGCCUUCUGCUAGCUUUUGAAUGUGUUUGCUCUUGCUUCUCUAGUUCUUUUAAUUGUGAUGUUAGAGUGUCAAUUUUAGAUCUUUCCAGCUUCCUCUUGUGGGCAUUUAGUGCUAUAAAUUUCCCUCUACACACUGCUUUAAAUGUGUCCCAGAGAUUCUGGUAUGUUGUAUCUUUGUUCUCAUUGGUUUCAAAGAACAUCUUUAUUUCUGCCUUCAUUUCGUUAUGUACCCAGUAGUCAUUCAGGAGCAGGUUGUUCAGUUUCCAUGUAGUUGAGCAGUUUUGAUUGAGUUUCUUAGUCCUGAGUUCUAGUUUGAUUGCACUGUGGUGUGAGAGACAGUUUGUUAUAAUUUCUGUUCUUGUACAUUUGCUGAGGAGUGCUUUACUUCCAAUUAUGUGGUCAAUUUUGGAGUAAGUACGAUGUGGUGCUGAGAAGAAUGUAUAUUCUGUUGAUUUGGGGUGGAGAGUUCUAUAGAUGUCUAUUAGGUCUGCUUGCUGCAGAGAUGAGUUCAAUUCCUGGAUAUCCUUGUUAACUUUCUGUCUCGUUGAUCUGUCUAAUGUUGACAGUGGAGUGUUGAAGUCUCCCAUUAUUAGUGUAUGGGAGUCUAAGUCUCUUUGUAAGUGUCUAAGGACUUGCUUUAUGAAUCUGGGUGCUCCUGUAUUGGGUGCAUAUAUAUUUAGGAUAGUUAGCUCUUCCUGUUGAAUUGAUCCCUUUACCAUUUUGUAAUGGCCUUCUUUGUCUCUUUUGAUCUUUGAUGGUUUAAAGUCUGUUUUAUCAGAGACUAGGAUUGCAACCCUUGCUUUUUUUUUGUUCUCCAUUUGCUUGGUAAAUCUUCCUCCAUCCCUUUAUUUUGAGCCUAUGUAUGUCUCUGCAUGUGAGAUGGGUCUCCUGAAUACAGCAGACUGAUGGGUCUUGACUCUUUAUCCAGUUUGCCUGUCUGUGUCUUUUAAUUGGAGCAUUUAGUCCAUUUACAUUUAAGGUUAAGAUUGUUAUGUGUGAACUUGAUCCUGCCAUUAUGGUAUUAACUGGUUAUUUUGCUCGUUAGUUGAUGCGGUUUCUUCCUAGCUUCGAUGUUCUUUACAUUUUGGCAUGUUUUUGCAAUGGCUGGUACCGGUUGUUCCUUUCCAUGUUUAGUGCUUCCUUCGGGGUCCCUUGUAAGGCAGGCCUAGUGGCGACAAAAUCUCUAAGCAUUUGCUUAUCUGUAAAGGAUUUUAUUUCUCCUUCACUUCUUAAACUUAGUUUGGCUGGAUAUGAAAUUCUAGGUUUAAAAUUCUUUUCUUUAAGAAUGUUGAAUAUUGUCCUCCACUCUCUUCUGGCUUGUAGAGUUUCUGCCGAGAGAUCUGCUGUUAGUCUGAUGGGCUUCCCUUUGUGGGUAACCCGACCUUUCUCUCUGGCUGCCCUUAAGGUUUUUUCCUUCAUUUCAACUUUGGUGAAUCUGGCAAUAUUGUGUCUUGGAGUUGCUCUUCUCGAGGAGUAUCUUUGUAGCGUUCUCUGUAUUUCCUGGAUUUGAAUGUUGGCCUGCCCUACUAGGUUGGGGAAGUUCUCCUGGAUGAUAUCCUGAAGAGUGUUUUCCAACUUGGUUCCGUUUUCCCCCUCACUUUCAGGCACCCCAAUCAGACGUAGAUUUGGUCUUUCUACAUAAUCCCAUACUUCUUGCAGGCUUUGUUCAUUUCUUUUUUCUUUUGGUUUCUCUUCUCGCUUCAUUUCGUUCAUUUGAUCCUCAAUCACUGAUACUCUUUCUUCCAAUUGAUUGAGUCAGUUACUGAAGCUUGUGCAUUUGUCACGUAUUUCUCGUGUCAUGGUUUUCAUCUCUUUCAUUUCGUUUAUGACCUUCUCUGCAUUAAUUACUCUAGCCAUCAAUUCUUCCACUUUUUUUUCAAGAUUUUUAGUUUCUUUGUGCUGGGUACAUAAUUCCUCCUUUAGCUCUGAGAAAUUUGAUGGACUGAAGCCUUCUUCUCUCAUCUCGUCAAAGUCAUUCUCCGUCAAGCUUUGAUCCGUUGCUGGCGAUGAGCUGCGCUCCUUUGCCGGGGGGAGAUGUACUCUUAUUUUUUAAUUUCCAGCUUUUCUGCCCUGCUUUUUCCCCAUCUUUGUGGUUUUAUCUGCCUCUGGUCUUUGAUGAUGAUGACGUACUGAUGGGGUUUUGGUGUGGGUGUCCUUCCUGUUUGUUAGUUUUCCUUCUAACAGUCAGGACCCUCAGCUGUAGGUCUGUUGGAGAUUGCUUGAGGUCCUCUCCAGACCCUGUUUGCCUGGGUAUCAGCAGCAGAGGCUGCAGAAGAUAGAAUAUUGCUCAACAGCGAGUGUACCUGUCUGAUUCUUGCUUUGGAAGCUUCCUCUCCGGGGUGUACUCCACCUUGUGAAGUGUGGGGUGUCAGACUGCCCCUAGUGGGGGAUGUCUCCCAGUUAGGCUACUCAGGGGUCAGGGACCCACUUGAGCAGGCAGUCUGUCCCUUCUCAGAUCUCAACCUCCAUGUUGGGAGAUCCACUGCUCUCUUCAAAGCUGUCAGACAGAGUCGUUUGCGUCUGCAGAGGUUUCUGCUGCUUUUGUUAUUGUUUACUGUGCCGUGUCCUGAGAGGUUGAGUCUACAGAGAAAGGCAGGUUUCCUUGAGCUGCUGUGAGCUCCACCCAGUUCGAGCUUCCCAGCAGCUUUGUUUACCUACUUAAGCCUCAGCAAUGCAUGUGAGCCCCUCCCCUAGCCUUGCUGCUCCCUUGCAGGUAGAUCACAGACUUCUGUGCUAGCAAUGAGGGAGGCUCCGUGGGCGUGGGACCCUCCCAGCCAGGUGUGGGCUAUAAUCUCCUGGUGUGCCCGUUUGCUUAAAGUGCAGUAUUGGGGUGGGAGUUACCCGAUUUUCCAGGUGUUGUGUGUCUCAGUUCCCCCGGCUAGGAAAAGGGAUUCCCCCUUGCACUUCCCAGGUGAGGCGAUGCCUUGCCCUGCUUCAGCUCUCGCUGGUCGGGCUGCAGCAGCUGACCAGCACUGAUUGUCUGGCACUCCCUAGUGAGAUGAAUCCAGUACCUCAGUUGAAAAUGCAGAAAUCACCGGUCUUCUGUGUCGCUCGUGCUGGGAGUUGGAGACUGGAGCUGUUCCUAUUCGGCCAUCUUGCUCCACCCCUUUCUCCAGGAUCUUACCCAAGACCACCCAGAUGGUAUGUCUAUGAGUCUACAAAAGUCACAGCAUUACUGGGCUUGGAGUGCCCCCUAAUGAACAUAUGGCUUCAGUAACCAAAGACUUAAAUGACAACAGUCAACUCCUUUUGAAUACUUGGAAAACCUUCUUUAAAAGAAUGGGUAUAAACAAGUCAAGACUGUGUAAAUUACAUUAAAUACCUAACUUUUCAAUGCCUGGACAUUGGCAGACAUCUACAAACAUCAAGAUUAUAUGGAAAAACGUGACCUCAUCAAACAAACUCAAUAAGGAACCAUGACCAAUUCUGGAGUGACAGAGAUAUGUGGCCUUUCCAACAGGGAAUUCAAAAUAGUUGUUUUGAGGAAGUUAUUCCUUAUAACACAGAUAAGAAAUUCAGAAUCCUGUCAGAUACAUUUAACAAAGAAAUUGAAAUAAUUUUUAAAAACCAAGCAGGAAUUGGCCGGGUGCGGAGCCUCACACCUGUAAUCCAGCACUUUGAGAGGCCGAGAAGGGUAGAGAGAUCGAGACCAUUCUUGCUAACACGGUGAAACACUGUCUCUGCUAAAAAUACAAAAAAAUUAGCCGAGUGUGGUGGCGGGCAACUGUAGUCCCAGCUACUCGGGAGACUGAGGCAGGAGAAUGGCGUGAACCAGGGAGGUGGAGCUUGCAGUGAGCCGAGAUCACGCCACUGCACUCCAGCCUAGGCAACAGAGCGAGACUCUGGGAAAAAAAAAAAAAAGCAGAAAUUCUGGAGCUAAAAUAUUUAUUUGACAAACUGAAAAUGCAUCAGAGACUCUGAACAGCAGAACUAAUUAAGCAGAAGAAAUAAUUCAGAAACUUGAAGACAGUCUAUUUGAAAAAACAUAGAGGAGGCAACAGAAAAUGAAUAAAAAAGAGAGAAGCAUGCAUAUAAGAUCUGGAAUUUAGCUUCAAAUUGUAAGAGUUAUUGGUCAUAAGGAGGAGGUUGAGAGAGAGCUCUGGGUAGAAAAUUUACUCAAAAAGAUAAUAGAGAACAUUACAAACCUAGAGAAAGAUAUCAGUAUUCAAGUACAAGAAGGUUACAGAACACCAAGAUGUUUUAACUCAAGACUAACUGGGCACACUUAAUAAUCAAACUUCCAAAGGUCAAGAAUAAGAAAAGGAUUCUAAAACAGCAAGAGAUAAGAACAAACUACAUUUAAAGGAGCUCCAAUACAUUUGGCAGAAAAUUUCUCUGUGGAAAUCUUACAAGCCUGGAGAACGCCAUGACAUAUAUAAAAUGCUGAAAGGAAAAGACUUUUAUCCCAGAAUAUCACAUCCAGCAAAAAUAUCCAUCAAACAUAAAGAGAAAUAAAGAGUUUUCCAGACAAACAAAAACUUAGGGAUUUUAUAAACUCCAGGCUUGUCCUACAAGAAAUGCUAAAGGGAGUUCUUCAGUCUGAAAUAAAGAAAUGUUAAUGACCAAGAAGAAAUCAUCUGAAGGUACAAAAUUCACUCUUAAUAGUAAAUGUACAGCCAAAUACUGAAUAUUAUACCAGUGUAAUUGUGCUGUGCAAACUACUUGUAUCAUCAGUAGGAAGACUAAAAGAUAAAUCUAUUCAAAAUAAUAACAACUACUUAUUAAGAUGUAGUAUAAAAAGGUAUCAACAGGAACAACAAAAUUUUAAGAAGUAGGGGGAUAAAGCUAAAGUGUAGAAUUUUUUUGUGUGUGAUUCUCAUUCUUUAUUUAUUAUUAUUAUUAUUAUACUUUAAGUUCUAGGGUGUAGAAUUUUUAAUAGUUUUCUUGUUGCUUGCUUUUUGGUUUCUUAGUUUGUUUUAGGUCAGAGUUAAGUUGUCAUAAUUUAAAAAUAAGUGGUUAUAAUAUAUUGUUUGCAAGCCUCAUGGUAACCUCAAAUCAAAAAAACCUACAAGAGAUACACAUAAAUAAAAAGAAAUUAAUUAAAAAAUACUACAGGGAAAAAUCACUUUCACACAAAGAACAGAAAGGAAGGAAGGAAGAGAAGACCACAAAACAACCAGAAAACAAAUAACAAAAUUGCAGGCGUAAGUUCUUACUUAUCAAUAAUAGCACUGAAUGUAAAUGAACUAAAUUCUCCAAUCAAAAGAAAUAGAGUGGCUGAAUGGAUAAUUAAAAAUAAAAGAAUUAACUAUCCACUGCCAAAAAAAAAAAAAACAAAAAACAAAAAACAA
rnacentral:lncRNA from 1 species